GAUGAACGCUGGCGGCGUGCCUAAUACAUGCAAGUCGAGCGAACGGACGAGAAGCUUGCUUCUCUGAUGUUAGCGGCGGACGGGUGAGUAACACGUGGAUAACCUACCUAUAAGACUGGGAUAACUUCGGGAAACCGGAGCUAAUACCGGAUAAUAUUUUGAACCGCAUGGUUCAAAAGUGAAAGACGGUCUUGCUGUCACUUAUAGAUGGAUCCGCGCUGCAUUAGCUAGUUGGUAAGGUAACGGCUUACCAAGGCAACGAUGCAUAGCCGACCUGAGAGGGUGAUCGGCCACACUGGAACUGAGACACGGUCCAGACUCCUACGCGAGGCAGCAGUAGGGAAUCUUCCGCAAUGGGCGAAAGCCUGACGGAGCAACGCCGCGUGAGUGAUGAAGGUCUUCGGAUCGUAAAACUCUGUUAGUAGGGAAGAACAUAUGUGUAAGUAACUGUGCACAUCUUGACGGUACCUAAUCAGAAAGCCACGGCUAACUACGUG
rnacentral:rRNA from 1 species